UACGUAGGCAGCAAGCGUUGUUCGGAAUUACUGGGCGUAAAGAGUGUGUAGGCGGUGCUCUAAGUCUGUCGUGAAAUCUCCGAGCUUAACUCGGAAAGGUCAACUGAUACUGCGGGGCUAGAGUGCGGAAGGGGCAACUGGAAUUCUUGGUGUAGCGGUGAAAUGCGUAGAUAUCAAGAGGAACACCUGCGGCGAAGGCGGGUUGCUGGGCCGACACUGACGCUGAGGCGCGAAAGCUAGGGGAGCGAACGGG
rnacentral:rRNA from 1 species